GAUGAAGAACGCAGCGAAAUGCGAUAAGUAAUGUGAAUUGCAGAAUUCAGUGAGUCAUCGAAUCUUUGAACGCACAUUGCGCCCUUUGGUAUUCCGAAGGGCAUGCCUGUUCGAGCGUCAUUAUCACCCCUCAAGCCCUCGGCUUGGUGUUGGACGGUUUGGUGGAGGCCCCCUCGGGGGCUCCUGCCCCUCCCAAAGACAAUGACGGCGGCCUCGUUGGACCCCCGGUACACUGAGUUCUUCACGGGACACGUAUCGGACACAUGGGUUUACGGGACACGGUCUGCCUCCCCUCAGGGAGAAUCUUUCUAAGGUUGACCUCGGAUCAGGUAGGGAUACCCGCUGAACUUAAGCAUAUCAAUAAGCGGAGGA
rnacentral:misc_RNA from 1 species